ensembl:lncRNA
GGCUCACGGUUCUCACCCCCUUCCAUAGACUUAAACAGUAAUUAUGACAACUUCCAGAGGACGUCCUCCUACCUAUCAGAGCUCUUGCAGCAUGAACUGACAUGUUGUCCACCCAAUCAAAGGAUCAGAGAAUGAAUAUAGUACCGAAAGCAUAAGCUACAGCUAGCUAGCACUGCCUGCAGUGCAUAAAAUGUGCUCUCUGAAUCCUGUGAUGCGUGGGAGUGGGCGGAUUUCCUCGUCCUUCUCGUCAACCUUGAUUUUGGGCAGCUCCAUGGACCUGAGCCCUAGGACCAUGCCCCAGGACUACCUGACAUGAUGACUCCUUGCUGUCCCCAGUCCACCUGGCCGUGCUGCUGCUCCAGUUUCAACUGUUCUGCCUUAUUAUUCGACCAUGCUGGUCAUUUAUGAACAUUUGAACAUCUUGGCCAUGUUCUGUUAUAAUCUCCACCUGGCACAGCCAGAAGAGGACUGGCCACCCCACAUAGC